ACGCACGGGCAAGGUAACGAAGAUCUUCUUUUCAUUUCAAAAUGUGCGUUACAGAACCCGGCACGGAAGGCCUCCUGGUACAGGCAGAAACAGCCAGGUAAGGGGUGCUAGCCCGGUCGGCGGGACCAGGAAGCUCCAGAUCGUACUCCGGAGGAACUCCAUACUGAACCCUUAUCAGUAAAAGUUCAUCCGGAGUCAGAGAACAAGGAAUGACGCCCGACGCAAAAACCGGAUGAGGCCCAACCCUAGAUGAGGGUUCGUCUACAGUAUGAGGGUUCUGGGGGGCUGAGGCGGACGAACUCCUGGAACCACUAGAGGCGGAGGUGCUAGAAGACAUUUCAAACAAGGACCCUAAAAAUCCCGGAGAAAUCAGGCAAAAUAAGAGGCGAAAGGUUCGCGGGGAACCAAACCAGGGGAAUGCGGCGGAAGAAAAAUGGAGAAAGGGCACCUAGAUGGCAAGAAGAGAAACGAAAGUUUCGGGACUAACCUAAGUCGCUCCUAAGGAUGC
rnacentral:lncRNA from 1 species